UGUGCAGCUUGUGCACUGUUUAAUUCUAGAAGGUGCCAUUCACAUAUGCUAUGCUAGGACAAGUACCUCUAGAGUUGAGCAGUGUACAACCUGGCA
rnacentral:miRNA from 1 species